GCACUGAUGACGAGCCCUAAAUAGGACGAAACAACCGUCCAGUGC
rnacentral:hammerhead_ribozyme from 1 species